rnacentral:rRNA from 1 species
UAAAACGAAGAAAGAGUAUUUAUAAUUGGUUAUUAGUUAUAAACGAUUUUACUAGGUUUCUUAUAUAUUACACAUGAACUAAAAAUUAUAGUGAAACUAAUUAUAAAAUUAUAAAUUUUGGCCUAGUAAUUACUUGGUUAAUAGAGUGCCAGCAGCCGCGGUUAGACUCUAAAGUCAACAAUUAAGCUGCUAAAAAUUAAACUUACUUUUUAAUGUAGGUUCAAUUUAUAAGAUAAAAAGUAAGCUGUGUUAAGUUUUAAGAGUUGAACUUAAACCGAGAUUAGAACCUUGUUAUUCGACUUUUAAUUAGCAAAGUAGUUUAUAAAACUUAAAAUAAAUGGCUGUGGUUUAUUCUAAUUAGAGAAUUUUGAAAGAUAACUUGACUUUCCUCAAUCUUAUUCACUUUAAAAAAUUUUGUGUGUGAUUGUUUAAAAAAUAGUUUUAUAAUUAAAUUAAAAUCAAAUAAUAUACAGAUUUUUAAAGGACCUUUUGAAAUGCAGUAUGAAAACAAGUAAACUAUUAAAAAUCUUCAGGAUUUAAAAGUAAUUAAUAAAUAAUGAAUAAGUUUUAAACUAAGCUCAUAUUGUCCGUCACUCUCAUAUUGAGAUAAGUCGUAGCAAAGUAAGGGUU